UAUUGUAUGCACAACUGCCAGGGCCCUGAAUAUGUGCUCUGUCUUGAGCAGAAAAGCACACGAAGAGGGAAAACAUACAGACACACAAAACAACUUUGGCUAAAGCUGACAAACAGGAAGACAGCAUAUUGGAGAAAGAUGGCUUGGGAGUGUUUGGAUCCACUCUCGAAAUGCAUCACCACCAACCAGCCUUGGUAACACUCUUCAACAGAAAAUGCUCACCAGACCUCCGAACAGCCUGGGUGUUUAUGGUUCUCCUUUAAUCCUCCGUCUCAGUUUCUCAUCAAAAUUAUGGAGCAAACUCGUUUUAAAUGAAUUCAAAGUGGUUGCCUUACUUCACCGAUUAAACCAUCUACUUGCCCUUGGCCACAGGCAGAGUUCUUAUCAAUGGAAUGAAGAAUAAAGUAAUUCCUAGCUUU